AAAAUAUUUUAAUUUAAUUCAUUCCUAUUUUUGGCACUUAAAAAAAAUUGUUAAGCACAAAAAAUUCCUAAAAAUAUAACAUAACUAGAGCGACUAUCCAAAAGAUACCAAGUAACAAGCUCCUUAUCAAUGGGCAUCCAUCAAUCGCCAGUUAUCGCCGGGCAAAGCGCCACUCCUGCCAAUAAAGUGCACAAAGUGCCUCGAAAUGACUCAAAGUCUUGCUCCCCAAUAGAAGACCAAACUACCAGAAGAAUGAUGAUAAUGAGCCACAAUCUUUCUGCUGCCGCGGCAUUAACAUAAAUUAAAAAAAAAAACGAAACGAAAAA